CCUUUCCACCCUACCAUUUGGGCAAUUUUCUAAUCUUGCCACGGCUGGCGUGAUGCUGGCUCGGCAGCCGCGUCGACUGACAGUUGAAGGCAUGGGGACGACGAGCGGUGGAGUUGUGGAAAACACUAGCAGGACUGGAGGGUCACAGUUGCAGUUUCCUUCACUAAAACCCCGAGGAGUCUCAUGCUUUCAAAAGCCUCAGGAUGGCUACUGGAGCAUCACAGAUCAAGAACAAUUCUGAUGCUGACACAAAUGAGUUGGAAUAUUGAUGGCUGAGGAACUAAAGAUGAACUCCAGGCGUCAUCGGCGCAUUUAGAUACUGUCAACCCUUCAGAAGUGGCAGUGCUAGACAAACUCAUACUUCACUGCCUCCCCUACCGGGAGUGCACCCUCUAAUGUUGUCAAUUUCCACACUCUCUUCUUCUAGCAAGAAACACACCAUUUGAUUUCAGCCCUACCAGCCUGAGAACUUGGGAAAGGAACGAUUCUACGCAGAUGUGACAACUUAAUAACAUAAGCCAAGGCCUUUCCUCAAACAAAAACAGCCCUACUCUCGUAACCAUCUGUUAUUUGUCCUUUACCCAGCACAUUAAAUUAUAUUUGGUGUCACUCUACCUGGGUACUAAACAGUACCAUCAUCCUUGUUGAUUUUUAUCUUGCACAGUGAGUUUUUUCAGGUCUAAACAAUGCAAAAAUUUUGACAGGUCGCCUGCAACUUAUUUACAUUCUGUUUCCAAUAUUGUCAAAGGUGGCAGCAUCGGUGUAUGUGACAGAUGUGAUUAGAGCUGUUUUUAUGAAUGAUUGAAUGAUUUGGAUCUUUCAUUAAAAACAUCUGCCUGCUACAUAA